GCCUCUUCAAUAUCUGACCUACAACGCCACAUGUCAUCAUUGGAUUUGGGUAUUCAUGAUCAGCAAGCUGUCAAAAUUCCACUCAGAUCCAAAUCUGUCAUCUGAGCACACGGUGAAGAGGAUGUCCAAGUCAGACACAGCUUCCGGGUGUUGCCAAUGCCAAACCAGUACAUGAACAUCUGUGUGAAAACAAACCAGUGCUGAUGUCACCCUCCCCAAAAUAAAGGCUUCAGUAUGAGGACAGA